rnacentral:snoRNA from 1 species
GGAUUCAUGAUGAGACAAUGUUGACUGAAACUGAUGAUGAGUUUGUAUAAUUAAGCAGGAUUACUCUGAGAUCC